rnacentral:lncRNA from 1 species
CCAGAGAAGGAAGGGUACAAGGGUAGAAAAUUAUCCUUCUAUCUGCUAGCCCAAGCACAAGCUGAAACAAAUCAUCCUCGGAAUUAUGCAAAGGUUGGAAACUGUUGGAGUGACUGGAAUGAAAGCAAAGGAGACCUAACAAACUGUACCUCUUAUGCAAGGUUCAACAGCAUUCAGAAGAUACCUUGUGAUUUUCGCUUCCUUUUAUCAGACCAUGUCUGUGAUGCAACAGGAUACAGAGACUAUCUUAAGCAAUUUGUCUUGCUAACAUACAGCUGUACAGUAGGUAAGUACCUCAAUAAAAAUUUUGAUGGGCAUUGGUUCAGUUGUGCUAUUUCCAUAGUUCAUUAAAAAAAAAAAGGAAAGGAUAAAGAAAAUUGUUCAAGUCAAUGUGGUUUGGUUUGAGUAUUCUGUUGGUCCCAUACUGAGCAGGCAGCGCAGAGAGCUUAAUGACUUGGAGAGAGAGAGAGGA